CCGAGUCAGUGCGCGCGCGAUGCGACCGGCGGUGCACGUGUGCAACGCUGCGCAAUAAUCAACGGUCACUAAUAUAGUGCUGACGAUGUCGGAUUGGUCGGUAUUUGAUCGCGAGUACGCUGAUCGAUAUGACUCGUACCCGUAUCCGUACUAUGAGGAUAAAUUACAACAGGUGCCGGCGGAAUGCGCGCCGUCUCAAACGCAGGACCCUUAUGCGCCGCCGCCGACUCUAACCCUGCUUCUGUCACCGCAGAUCGCAAAACAACCAUGUCAAUACGAGCAGCUGGUGCCCAAAGGGGACAGUCCACGCGAGAUGCGGAAUAAAGCGGAGAAACAAAGGAGGGAUAAAAUGAACGAGUCGAUAGCCCACCUAGCGACCAUCGUGCCGCCCGUGGCGAUACCAGCUAGGAAGAUAGACAAGAUCAGCAAGCUGCGACUCACAGCGCAUUAUUUGCGAUCACAUCAAUACGUUUUCGGGGACACUAUCGACACUAAGACGAAAUGCAACAGGUUCAGCGUAGAGUUCACGAAGACACUUUUGAGGACGCUAAAGGGUUUCCUCAUUGCCUUAACGUAUAAGGGACUAGUUGUGGUGGUAUCUCCCAAUAUACAAGAAUACCUGGGCUACUCGGAGUUGGAGCUACUCGGCCAGAGUAUCUACAGCUACGUCCACGAACACGACCAUGCGCUUCUAAGAGAACAACUAAUGCCCCAGAAUACCAUGUUGGGUUCCAACGGAGAACUGUUAAUACCAGAAGACCCCGAAGGCAAGAAGAGAAUAGCAGAAGAACUCAGAAACGAGAGGCGAAGUUUCAUUAUUCGGUUUAAGAAACUAAACCAACAGCGAUCGGGGCCGGUGCACUAUGUCACAUGUCACGUGGAAGGGACCCUCCGUAUGGCGGAUAAAGCUUGCCCGAAGUACAAUCGCGUCUGCCAAAUCGUUAGACGCGCCAGGUUCAGAGGCGAGAACCCGACGUCGAGCGGAAAUGAUGUUGUAUUCAUCGGAAUGGCUCGACCGACGACUGAAACAUUCAUGACGGAAGGCGUGCUCGAGUCGUUCAAGCUCGAAUACCGUACCAGGCAUUCUAUUGACGGCGAAAUUAUACAAUGCGAACAACGCAUUGCCCUUGUGACUGGCUACAUGACACACGAAGUCAGUGGUAUGAACGCAAUGAACUUUAUGCAUCGCGAUGACGUCCGAUGGGUCAUAUUCGCAUUACGUGAGAUGUACGUCCAAAACCGUAUCUUUGGUGAAUCCUGCUACCGCUUGAUGACGAAGAACGGUCGCUUCAUCUACAUGAGGACUCGGGGCAGAUUGGAUGUCGAUAAAAAUACCAACGCAGUCACCAGUUUUGUUUGUACGAACACGGUUGUCAACGAAGACGAGGGAAAGCAGCUUAUACGCUUGAUGAAGAAGAGGUUCAAAAUACUCGUUAAUAAUGGUGACGAUAAAGAUACCGAUGAGGAUGAAGCUUCCCAGGCAACCAACCGUCCUAUGGAAAAAGCUAUAGGAGAGACAAACUCAGACCUUUCCGCUCAGUGUCUCAGACUCCUCCAGAGGAUCCGGCGGAGCCCCAGCCGGGGCCCAGUGGGAUUUGCGGGGUUAGGCGCUCCCACGAGGAUACCGAAGAGGAGCCCCCGUCGAAAAUAUUAAAGAAUGAAGACAUUUAUUCCGAAGACAGUCUCCUCGAAGCCCUGCGUCUUGAUGCCGAUGAGCAAAUUAAGAUUUCUGAAAUAGAUGCCAAUGGCAUAGACUACAAAAACGUCUUAGAAGAGGCAAAGAGGGACAAAAGUUCAUAUUUCGAAGAUUUCCUCUAAACAGUUUACGAUUCUUCAUUCUUAAAUCAUGCGCAUCUGAUUUUCCUGUGGAGCGCGGAUAUUUUGAAUGAAAGUACAUUUGAUCCUGUUUAAAUAUGAACUUUAAAUUUCAAUUGAUAUAAUUA
rnacentral:misc_RNA from 1 species